rnacentral:rRNA from 1 species
AGUGAACGCUGGCGGUAGGCCUAACACAUGCAAGUCGAACGGCAGCACAGUAAGAGCUUGCUCUUACGGGUGGCGAGUGGAGGACGGGUGAGGAAUACAUCGGCAUCUACUUUUUCGUGGGGGAUAACGUAGGGAAACUUACGCUAAUACCGCAUACGACCUACGGGUGAAAGCAGGGGAUCUUCGGACCUUGCGCGAUUGAAUGAGCCGAUGUCGGAUUAGCUAGUUGGCGGGGUAAAGGCCCACCAAGGCGACGAUCCGUAGCUGGUCUGAGAGGAUGAUCAGCCACACUGCAACUGAGACACGGUCCAGACUCCUACGGGAGGCAGCAGUGGGGAAUAUUGGACAAUGGGCGCAAGCCUGCUCCAGCCCUACCGCGUGGGUGAAGAAGGCCUUCGGGUUGUAAAGCCCUUUUGUUGGGAAAGAAAAGCAGCAGGUUAAUACCCCGCUGUUCUGACGGUACCCAAAGAAUAAGCACCGGCUAACUUCGUG